rnacentral:rRNA from 1 species
AGAGCGAACGCUGGCGGCAGGCCUAACACAUGCAAGUCGAGCGCCGUAGCAAUACGGAGCGGCAGACGGGAGAGUAACACGUGGGAACGUGCCCUUCAGUUCGGAACAACCCAGGGAAACUUGGGCUAAAUACCGGAUACGUCCGUAAGGAGAAAGAUUUAUCGCUGAAGGAUCGGCCCGCGUCUGAUUAGCUAGUUGGUGAGGUAACGGCUCACCAAGGCGACGAUCAGUAGCUGGUCUGAGAGGAUGAUCAGCCUCACUGGGACUGAGACACGGCCCAGACUCCUACGGGAGGCAGCAGUGGGGAAUAUUGGACAAUGGGCGCAAGCCUGAUCCAGCCAUGCCGCGUGGGUGAUGAAGGCCCUAGGGUUGUAAAGCCCUUUCGGCGGGAAGAUAAUGACGGUACCCGCAGAAGAAGCCCGGCUAACUUCGUGCCAGCAGCCGC